UGAACGCUAGCUACAGGCUUAACACAUGCAAGUCGAGGGGAAACGGCAUUUAGUGCUUGCACCGAAUGGACGUCGACCGGCGCACGGGUGAGUAACGCGUAUCCAACCUACCCAUUACUGUGGGAUAACCUGCCGAAAGGCAGACUAAUACCGCAUAGUCUUCGAUGACGGCAUCAGAUUUGAAGUAAAGAUUUAUCGGUAAUGGAUGGGGAUGCGUCUGAUUAGCUUGUUGGCGGGGUAACGGCCCACCAAGGCAACGAUCAGUAGGGGUUCUGAGAGGAAGGUCCCCCACAUUGGAAUGAGACACGGUCCAAACUCCUACGGGAGGCAGCAGUGAGGAAUAUUGGUCAAUGGGCGCGAGCCUGAACCAGCCAAGUAGCGUGCAGGAUGACGGCCCCUAUGGGGUUGUAAAACUGCUUUUGUAAUGGGGAUAA
rnacentral:rRNA from 1 species